AGUGAUUCUCCUGCCUCAGCCUCCGGAGUAGCUGGGAUUACAGCAAAGAUAUCCAGACGCUGUAUGCAGGAAGAACUGAAUUUCAGAGGACACCGUUUGAUCUUCAACACCUGGCAGUUUACAAAACAGCCUGAAGAGGAGAGGGGGAAUCCUGGUGAGAAGCAUUUGGAAUUCAAGCUCAGAGAAGAAGACACGGAGUCCCAGCUGAGAACUCAAACUGGUAGAAGGAAGAUUAUUUUUCCUUCUCUAUAGGUGCUUGGAGGUAACGAGGGGAAAGGAGUUGAAAGGAAGGUGACAUUUCAGGUAUUGAUGGGACAGCACGUGCGAGGCCUAGAGGACUGAAAGUUCUUGAUGGGAUCUGUCAGAAGAAAACAGCUGCGUGUACAGGGGAGAAGUGGGAGGGGCGGGUCGGCUAGCGAGCUGAGACGGAGCUGCGCGUGCGUCGAAGUCGGGGCUGUGGGGGCGGGGUGGGUCCGGGGCGCGCUCACCGGAUCGCCGGCGAGCUACGGCUACCACCCGUCAUCUCUUUUCAGCUAAUCUGCUUCGCGCUACUUUUUUGAGGUGGGCACCUGGGAUGGAGGCAAGGAAUCACGAAGUGGCGUCUCCUCGGAAGGGGCAGCCUGAUGUCUUUAACCACUGAACUGUGGUUUCCAACUGGAUGCGCUUUGGGUUCAGGGCUAAGACACGCGUAGGCGGUGCAGACAGUUCAAUUCGUGGGCGGCUUUUUCUCUCCCCUGCGCGGUUUUGCAGAACUGAGGAUUCACGUUUGCCACGCAGUCUCUAAAUCCUCCUCCCAGCCCUCGCCGGAUUUCUGCAUCGGAAUUGGAUUGGAUCACACACAAAAGAAGAGCCCAGGAACUCGUUCACCACCUUGCACCUUGCCUGUUAGUUCACGGCAUAAUGGUAACAGAGUCUUCAUUAAUGGAAGCAACGUUACUACCGUGAGCCCGGAUAGCUCAGUCGGUAGAGCAUCAGACUUUUAAUCUGAGGGUCCAGGGUUCAAGUCCCUGUUCGGGCGGUAUCUUUUUUUUCCUCAUUAAAAGAGU
rnacentral:tRNA from 1 species